UUUCAGAGUUUGCUAAAAGUAACCAUCUGAAAAUGACUCGCCUAAAUCUGCUUAUAAUAUUUCCAAUCUAAAGGAUGAAGGGUAAAAAUGAGGGUAAAGAAAGCUAUGAGAAGGAGGAGAAAAA